GAUGAACGCUGGCGGCGUGCCUAAUACAUGCAAGUCGAGCGAAAAGACGCGGAGCUUGCUCCUCUGACGUUGACGGCGGGCGGGUGAGUAAAACGAGGAUACCUUAUCUAUAGGACUAGGAUCGGUUAGGGAAACCGGAGCUAGUACCGGACAUGAUAUUGAACCUCAUGGUUCAAUAGAUAUUGACGGUUUUGCUGUGGCUUAUAGAUGUAUCCGCGCUGGAUUAGCUAGUUGGUAAGGUAACGCCUUACCGAGGCGACGAUGCGUAGCCGGGCUGAGAGGGUGAUCCGGCACACUGGAACUGAGACACGGUCCAGACUCCUACGGGAGGCAGCAGUAGGGAAUGUUGCACAAUGGGCGAAAGCCUGACGGAGCAACGCCGCGUGAGUGAUGAAGGUCUUCGGAUCGUAAAACGCUUUUAGUUGGGAAGAAGAAUUGUAUAAUUAACUAUGCCUGUCUUGACGGUACCAAAAGAAAAAGCAACGGCUAACUACGUG
rnacentral:rRNA from 1 species